UGGAUGAAACUUAGAAAUAAGUUAUCCCUUGGCAAGUGCAAGCAGUUCGUCGACAUCUUGUUCGCAGUCCACACAAAAAGAGAUUGAAUUACAAGCUAAACUUCAUGAAGCUUUGGAACGGAUUGAAGUACAAGAUAGAAAUCACCAAGCAUUAGCUUCACAAGUGGAAGCUAUGAAAAAGAUGAUUGAAGACCUAACUCGUGCACAACAGGGACCACCACAUGAUCCCUAGCCCUGCGGACCGAAGGUGUAGAAUGACGCGCAUACGCACCUCGUUGGGAGAUUGGGUCUUAUGUUUAUGUUUUUUCUAUAUUGAGAACUAUAUUUUCUUGUAGUCAACUUAUUCGUAUUAUUAAUUUUAAUUCUAUUUUUUUAA